rnacentral:rRNA from 1 species
ACGAACGCUGGCGGCGUGGAUAAGACAUGCAAGUCGAACGAGAGAAUUGCUAGCUUGCUAAUAAUUCUCUAGUGGCGCACGGGUGAGUAACACGUGAGUAACCUGCCCCCGAGAGCGGGAUAGCCCUGGGAAACUGGGAUUAAUACCGCAUAGUAUCGAAAGAUUAAAGCAGCAAUGCGCUUGGGGAUGGGCUCGCGGCCUAUUAGUUAGUUGGUGAGGUAACGGCUCACCAAGGCGAUGACGGGUAGCCGGUCUGAGAGGAUGUCCGGCCACACUGGAACUGAGACACGGUCCAGACACCUACGGGUGGCAGCAGUCGAGAAUCAUUCACAAUGGGGGAAACCCUGAUGGUGCGACGCCGCGUGGGGGAAUGAAGGUCUUCGGAUUGUAAACCCCUGUCAUGUGGGAGCAAAUUAAAAAGAUAGUACCACAAGAGGAAGAGACGGCUAACUCUGUGCCAGCAGCCGCGGUAAUACAGAGGUCUCAAGCGUUGUUCGGAAUCACUGGGCGUAAAGCGUGCGUAGGCUGUUUCGUAAGUCGUGUGUGAAAGGCGCGGGCUCAACCCGCGGACGGCACAUGAUACUGCGAGACUAGAGUAAUGGAGGGGGAACCGGAAUUCUCGGUGUAGCAGUGAAAUGCGUAGAUAUCGAGAGGAACACUCGUGGCGAAGGCGGGUUCCUGGACAUUAACUGACGCUGAGGCACGAAGGCCAGGGGAGCGAAAGGGAUUAGAUACCCCUGUAGUCCUGGCAGUAAACGGUGCACGCUUGGUGUGCGGGGAAUCGACCCCCUGCGUGCCGGAGCUAACGCGUUAAGCGUGCCGCCUGGGGAGUACGGUCGCAAGAUUAAAACUCAAAGAAAUUGACGGGGACCCGCACAAGCGGUGGAGUAUGUGGCUUAAUUCGAUGCAACGCGAAGAACCUUACCUGGGCUUGACAUGUAAUGAACAACAGGUGAAAGCAUGCGACUCGUCGGAGGCGUUACACAGGUUCGGCAUGGCGGUCGUCAGCUCGUGUCGUGAGAUGUUUGGUUAAGUCCAGCAACGAGCGCAACCCCUGUUGCCAGUUACCAGCACGUGAAGGUGGGGACUCUGGCGAGACUGCCCAGAUCAACUGGGAGGAAGGUGGGGACGACGUCAGGUCAGUAUGGCCCUUAUGCCCAGGGCUGCACACGUACUACAAUGCCCAGUACAGAGGGGGCCGAAGCCGCGAGGCGGAGGAAAUCCUGAAAACUGGGCCCAGUUCGGACUGUAGGCUGCAACCCGCCUACACGAAGCCGGAAUCGCUAGUAAUGGCGCAUCAGCUACGGCGCCGUGAAUACGUUCCCGGGUCUUGUACACACCGCCCGUCACAUCAUGGAAGCCGGUCGCACCCGAAGUAUCUGAAGCCAACCGCAAGGAGGCAGGGUCCUAAGGUGAGACUGGUAACUGGGAUG